AUUGAACGCUGGCGGCACGCCUAACACAUGCAAGUCGAGCGGUAGCAUGUUUUGUAGCAAUACAAAAUGAUGACGAGCGGCGGACGGGUGAGGAACACGUAGGAACCUGCCCUUUAGCGGGGGACAACCAAGGGAAACUUUGGCUAAUACCGCGUAAUCUCGAGAGAGGAAAGCUGCCCGCAAGGGUGGCGCUAAAGGAGGGGCCUGCGUCCGAUUAGCUAGUUGGUGAGGUAAAGGCUCACCAAGGCGAUAAUCGGUAACUGGUCUGAGAGGACGAGCAGUCACACUGGGACUGAGACACGGCCCAGACUCCUACGGGAGGGAGCAGUGGGGAAUAUUGGACAAUGGGGGCAACCCUGAUCCAGCGAUGCUGCGUGGGUGAAGAAGGGCUUCGGGUUGUAAAGCCCUUUAGGUCGGGAAGAAGGACGAUUAGUUAAUAGCUAGUUGUUUUGACGGUACCGACAGAAUAAGCACCGGCAAACUCUGUGCCAGCCGCCGCCGUAA
rnacentral:rRNA from 1 species